GUUUGAUCAUGGCUCAGGAUGGACGCUAGCGACAGGCUUAACNCAUNCAAGUCGAGGGGCAGCGGGGGCGUAGCAAUAUGCCUGCCGGCGACCGGCGCACGGGUGAGUAACACGUAUGUAACCUGCCCUAUGCAGGGGGAUAACCCGGAGAAAUCCGGCCUAAUACCGCGUAACACCUUUUGGGAGCAUUCCCGGGAGGUUAAAGGAGAGAUCCGGCAUAGGAUGGACAUGCGUCGCAUUAGGUAGACGGCGGGGUAACGGCCCACCGUGCCGACGAUGCGUAGGGGUUCUGAGAGGAAGGCCCCCCACACUGGUACUGAGACACGGACCAGACUCCUACGGGAGGCAGCAGUGAGGAAUAUUGGUCAAUGGCCGAGAGGCUGAACCAGCCAAGUCGCGUGAGGGAAGAAUGUCCUAAGGAUUGUAAACCUCUUUUGUCGGGGAGCAAAAAGGCUCUGCGGAGUCGUAUUGAGAGUACCCGAAGAAAAAGCAUCGGCUAACUCCGUGCCAGCAGCCGCGGUAAUACGGAGGAUGCGAGCGUUNUCCGGAUUUAUUGGGUUUAAAGGGUGCGCAGGCGGCGUGUCAAGCAAGCGGUAAAAUAGCGGGGCUCAACCCCGUCGAGCCGUUUGAACUGGCGCGCUUGAGUUCAGGCGAGGUAGGCGGAAUUCGUGGUGUAGCGGUGAAAUGCAUAGAUAUCACGAAGAACUCCGAUUGCGAAGGCAGCUUACCAGUCUGCGACUGACGCUCAGGCACGAAAGUGUGGGUAUCGAACAGGAUUAGAUACCCUGGUAGUCCACACAGUAAACGAUGAGCGCUAGGUGUCCGGGUCGCAUGAGACUUGGGUGCCCGAGCGAAAGCGUUAAGCGCUCCACCUGGGGAGUACGCCNGCAACGGUGGGAACUCAAANGGAAUUGACCGGGGGCCCGCACAAGCGGANGNAACAUGUGGUUUAAUUUCGAUGAUACCGCGAGGAACCUUUACCCGGGCUCAAACGACUCAGGAAUAUAUUGGAAANCGAUNUANCCAGCAAUGGUCUGAGUCGAGGUGCUGCAUGGUUGUCGUCAGCUCGUGCCGUGAGGUGUCGGCUUAAGUGCCAUAACGAGCGCAACCCCUACCGCCGGUUGCCAACGGGUAAAGCCGGGAACUCUGGCGGGACUGCCGGCGCAAGCUGCGAGGAAGGCGGGGAUGACGUCAAAUCAGCACGGCCCUUACGUCCGGGGCGACACACGUGUUACAAUGGCAGGUACAGCGGGAAGCCACCUGGUGACAGGGAGCGGAACCCGAAAGCCUGUCUCAGUUCGGAUUGGAGUCUGCAACUCGACUCCAUGAAGCUGGAUUCGCUAGUAAUCGCGCAUCAGCCAUGGCGCGGUGAAUACGUUCCCGGGCCUUGUACACACCGCCCGUCAAGCCAUGGGAGCCGGGGGUGCCUGAAGUACGUGACCGCGAGGAGCGUACCUAGGGCAAAACUGGUGANCUGGGGCUAAGUCGUAANCAAGGUAAC
rnacentral:rRNA from 1 species